rnacentral:rRNA from 1 species
UACGUAGGGGGCAAGCGUUGUCCGGAUUUAUUGGGCGUAAAGAGCUCAUAGGUGGUUUGGUUAGUCGGAUGUGAAAUCUCCAGGCUCAACCUGGAGGGGUCAUUCGAUACUGCCAUGACUAGAGGUCGGUAGGGGAGUGUGGAAUUCCUGGUGGAGCGGUGAAAUGCGCAGAUAUCAGGAGGAACACCAAUUGCGAAGGCAGCUCGCUGGGACGUUACUGACGCUGAGACGCGAAAGCGUGGGGAGCAAACAGG